rnacentral:rRNA from 1 species
UACAGAGGGUGCAAGCGUUGUUCGGAAUUAUUGGGCGUAAAGCGCAUGUAGGCGGCUUUGCAAGUCGGGUGUGAAAGCCCUCAGCUCAACUGAGGAAGUGCGCCCGAAACUGCAGAGCUUGAGUGCCGGAGAGGGUGGCGGAAUUCCCCAAGUAGAGGUGAAAUUCGUAGAUAUGGGGAGGAACACCGGUGGCGAAGGCGGCCACCUGGACGGUAACUGACGCUGAGACGCGAAAGCGUGGGUAGCAAACAGG